rnacentral:rRNA from 1 species
AUGCGCAGAGACGUACCUGGGAUCCCUGAGUGCUCCAGGAAAGAUCCACAUGGAUGCCACUACGAGAUUAAAUAUGUCACCGGGAAGUCAGAAGGUGACCUUGCCACUGACAUCAUUUCUGUCAUUGGGAAAGACAAGAAAAACAUCGCUUUCGGAUGUGGAUACAAUCAGGAGGAACCAGCAGACGCACCGCCCUCGUCGGUAGAUGGCAUCCUUGGACUCGCUAGCUUCAUCGAGGUUACCCACCAAAUAAAAAGCCUGUUCAGCAGCAAAGGAAAGGGCGUCCUCUAUGUCGGGGACUUCAAUCCGCCCUCCCGCGGCGUAACCUGGGUACCCAUGAGAGAAUCCUUGUUUUACUACUCACCUGGCCUAGCAGAGCUGUUCAUUGACAAACAGCCGAUAAGAGGGAAUCCAACAUUUGAGGCUGUAUUUGACAGUGGUACCACCUACACCUUCGUGCCUGCCCAGAUAUACAAUGAACUUGUUUCAAAGGUUAGAGGCACUCUCAGUGAAUCAUCACUUGUAGAGGUGAAGGGUCGUGCUCUGCCUCUAUGCUGGAAAGGGAAAAGGCCAUUCAGAUCUGUCAAUGAUGUGAAGAACCAAUUCAAGGCACUGUCACUGAAAAUUACCCACGCCAGCAGCACCAGCAACCUGGACAUCCCUCCUCAAAACUACCUCAUCGUGGAGGAAGACGGGAAAACGUGCUUGGCUAUCCGCGAUGCCUCGUCGGAUCCUGUUAUGAAGGAACUGAACUUUAUCUUAAUCGGAGCUGUUACGAUGCAGGAUCUGUUUGUGAUAUACAACAACGAGAGCAAGCAGCUCGGAUGGGUCCGUGCACAGUGCGACAAGGCGCAGGAGCUUGAAUCUGUCAUCGAUUCACGUCUCUGA